CCUACGGGAGGCAGCAGUGAGGAAUAUUGGUCAAUGGACGAGCGUCUGAACCAGCCAAGUAGCGUGAAGGAUGACUGCCCUAUGGGUUGUAAACUUCUUUUAUCUGGGAAUAAAAUGUUCCACGUGUGGGAUUUUGUAUGUACCCUAUGAAUAAGGAUCGGCUAACUCCGUGCCAGCAGCCGCGGUAAUACGGAGGAUCCGAGCGUUAUCCGGAUUUAUUGGGUUUAAAGGGAGCGUAGGUGGAUUGUUAAGUCAGUUGUGAAAGUUUGCGGCUCAACCGUAAAAUUGCAGUUGAAACUGGCAGUCUUGAGGACAGAAGAGGUGGGCGGAAUUCGUGGUGUAGCGGUGAAAUGCUUAGAGAUCACGAAGAACUCCGAUUGCGAAGGCAGUUCACUGGACUGCAACUGACACUGAGGCUCGAAAGUGUGGGUAUCAAACAGGAUUAGAUACCCUUGUAGUC
rnacentral:rRNA from 1 species